rnacentral:rRNA from 1 species
UACGUAGGGGGCUAGCGUUGUCCGGGAUCAUUAGGCGUAAAGCGCGUGUAGGCGGCUCGGUAAGUCCGCUGUGAAAGUCGGGGGCUCAACCCUCGGAUGCCGGUGGAUACUGUCGGGCUAGAGUACGGAAGAGGCGAGUGGAAUUCCUGGUGUAGCGGUGAAAUGCGCAGAUAUCAGGAGGAACACCGGUGGCGAAGGCGGGUCUCUGGGCCGAUACUGACGCUGAGGAGCGAAAGCGUGGGGAGCGAACAGG